GACGUCGUUUCUGAAUUUAGGUUUGGUUCUCCUCAUCUGUCAUGAACGAUUUCUUUCGCGUGUAACCUUUCCCUUUCUACCUGCUCUGCCGAACCAUCCAUCACCUCCUGAUUUCUUGAUUUCUCUUCCACAACCGUCCUUUUCUCCACAUCAAACUGUACCUUAGGAUUGAUUCCGUGUUUUCGUUCCUCUUUCUACCCACUUCUCACCAAUCCAUCGAUUAUGUCUUCUCCGAUUGAUCUGGCUUUACUUUGGGCCGCCGGUGCACUGUUACGCCGAUUCGGUGGCUCCAUUCAUGGUCCAACACCUCCAUCGAUCUACUGUUCCUUGCUCAUCCUUCUCUCUGUAUUCGAGAUUUCAUUACAGUUCCAAGGAGUAAAUCACGGUUGAACUAUCUUUUGGGAAAAGGAGAGAAGCAUUGAAGAUCAGAGCAAGGGUUAUUAUGAAGUGGGAGAUGUUUCCUAAUGUGUUGGUCAUUUUUGCUCCUCUUCAAACUGUCAAUAACACAACCAUAGAAAUACCUAUGCUUCAACUUGGAGUGGAUGAAAGCUAUAACUUGCUGAUUUCUAAAGCCAAGGAGGGUUCUGUUGCUGGGGAAGUCACAAUUGAGGCAAAUACUGUUUAUGGUGCAUUGCGUGGGUUAGAGGCUUAAGGAGCAGAAGAUCCAGGUCAAGAAUUACUGAUGUAAUGUAACAUUGAAAAGAAAUUUAUGACAUGGAUGUUAUUUUCCUGGUAGCGGUUUGUGGUGUUGUGGUGAGUGAAGGUUGUGGACAAAGCAUAAAAGUUGGUUAAACAUAAAUCUUCUUUUAUCUAUAACUUAUCUUGAACUCAUUGACAAAUUCUUUUAUUCAUCUUUUUACAGCUCUCUCUGAUUAUUAUACCUAUGAUGAAACUACAUAUGCAAAUUCAAGUUCUCAUCAGAAAAUGAAACCUGUAACUAACGCAAACAUAUAUCAAUAAGAUGGUAUGAAAUAAGAUUGUCAUUCACCUAAAAUGACUUUGCUUUUCAAGGGUUGAAUAUAAGAACCAACAUGUGCAGAAAACACUAUGUGAACCUGCUGGAAAGAAAAGGGUGCAUAUAUCUUGAUGAUGGUCAACCUUCGAUGAUGACGCUUCUUGUCAUCUACUUAGUUUGAUACCAGUCAACCAGUGACAUUGGGAGUUUGUUAAUGUUCUUCAUAUUUUAAGUAGUUGACUAGCUUUUCAAAACUAUAAUUAGUUUAGUUUGAGAUUACAGUUGGAUCCCUUUCUUGAUAUUUUGUAAAUAUAUUUGAAUGUUAUUUGUGAGUACUAUGGUCAUGAUCAUGCAUAGGACAUGACUUUUGUUUUGAGAAUUUAGAAUGUCAGGUUCUAGCAGAAUAGUUACAUGCGUUCAUUAGCAAUAUUCAGGAAAUGCACAUGCAUUCAGUGGCAACA